rnacentral:rRNA from 1 species
UGUAAGCGUAUACCAAAGUUGUUGCAGUUAAAACGCUCGUAGUCGGAAUUUGGCAGUUCCGGAUGUGUGCACGUCGUGUGCGCACUUCGCGGGGAUUGCUUUUGUGGUCUUGCGUAGGAUGAGGCACUUUUAUUAGUGAACGUCCUCACGCAACCACUUUUUACUGUGAGAAAAUCAGAGUGCUCAAAGCAGGCAUUUGCCGUGAAUGUAUUAGCAUGGAAUAAUAGAAUAGGACUUGGUUCUAUUUUGUUGGUUUGUUGGGACUGAGUAAUGAUUAAGAGGGACAGUUGGGGGCAUUUGUAUUUCGGUGCUAGAGGUGAGAUUCUUAGAUUGCCGAAAGACAAACUGCUGCGAAAGCGUCUGCCAAGGAUGUUUUCAUUGA